GGAGAGGUGGCCGAGUGGUCGAAGGCGCACGCCUGGAAAGUGUGUAGGCGGGUAACUGUCUCCAGGGUUCGAAUCCCUGUCUCUCCGCCA
rnacentral:tRNA from 1 species